UACGUAGGGUGCAAGCGUUGUCCGGAAUUAUUGGGCGUAAAGAGCUCGUAGGCGGUCUGUCGCGUCGGCUGUGAAAACCCGGAGCUCAACUCCGGGCCUGCAGUCGAUACGGGCAGACUAGAGUACGGCAGGGGAGACUGGAAUUCCUGGUGUAGCGGUGAAAUGCGCAGAUAUCAGGAGGAACACCGGUGGCGAAGGCGGGUCUCUGGGCCGAAACUGACGCUGAGGAGCGAAAGCGUGGGGAGCGAACAGG
rnacentral:rRNA from 1 species